rfam:Delta proteobacterium MLMS-1 ctg816, whole genome shotgun sequence.
GUUCACUGCCGGACAGGCAGCUCAGAAA